rnacentral:rRNA from 1 species
GCAGUCGAGCGGUAACAGAGAGUAGCUUUCUACUUUUUUCUCGCGCGCCGGACGGGUGAGUAAUGCUUGGGGAUCUGCCCGGUCGAGGGGGAUAACCGUUGGAAACGACGGCUAAUACCGCAUACGCCCUACGGGGGAAAGCAGGGGACCUUCGGGCCUUGCGCGAUUGGAUGAACCCAAGUGAGAUUAUCUUGUUGGUGAGGUAACGGCUCACCAAGGCGACAAUCUCUAGCUGGUCUGAGAGGAUGACCAGUCACACUGGGACUGAGACACGGCCCACACUCCUACGGGAGGCAGCAGUGGGGAAUAUUGCACAAUGGGGGAAACCCUGAUGCACCCAUGCCGCGUGUGUGAAAAAAGCCUUCGGGUUGUAAAGCACUUUCAGUGGUGAGGAAAGGAGGUUGGCUAAUACCUGACCUCUGUGACGUUAACCACAGAAAAAACACCGGCUAACUCCGUGC